AUGAAUAUGAAGACGCUGGCGUUAUUCUCACUCAGCCUGGCAGUGGCUCUGGGAAUGUCACCACUUGCUCCUGGUGUGGAACAAAGCCCCGAGUUGAGUCCUGUGCUGGGAGACCUGCUUCCUGUGCAGGGUCAUGUGGUGGUGGAGGAACCUGCGCCACAAGUCAGGCCAGGAUCCGAGGAGAAGAAGGAAGAAUUGUCUCCGAAGCACAGUGGGGAAGUACUAGAGAUCCGGGAAAAGCCACAAGUUGGCGAGGAGCCAGGCGGCGAAGUAAGCGCAGAGAUUAAGAAAGAACCAGAUGUCGAAGCGGGGCCAGAUGUGAAGGAGGAUCUAGAGGCUGAGGUGGAGCCAGAAGUUCAUCUGAAUCCAGAGGUUAUGGUUAAAGUAAACGCCGAUGCAGAGCCGGAGGUUGAGAUGGCGCUGAUUGACCUUGAAGGGAAGCUUGAAACGGGCCAGGAUUUAGAAGAGAGGCACAUUGACAUGGAGGGAAAAUAUGGAAUGGGUGAGCCAAUCAUGGAGCUGGAACCACUGGAGGAAGACAGCAUGCAGUUUUCACAAGUGGAAAACCAUUUGAUGGCAGCGUUUCAGAAUCACAAUUCGGUCAGUCUCCCUCUCGCAAAUAGGAGUGAUAUUGAUUACGAAGAACCAAUCAUGGAGCUGGAGCCUGAAGAGGUCGGUCAGCAGGUCAUGCCACAGGCUAGUAUCGUGGAAGAAGGGGAGAAGCGGUCUUCAGUGGGUCUCCCAGAAAUGGAAGGUCACAAUAGUGUGGCAUUGAGAAAACAGCCAUUGAGGCAGGGAGUGAAAAACCCAGAAGAAACAAGACCAUCACCAAAUCAAGACAAUGAAGGUAAAGACAUAAACACAGCGAGGAAAGAGGGAAUAAAUGCAACAAGGACGAAAUGUUGUUCUUUAGGUACACUGGAGUUUUGUUUAAGAUUUGGAAAAUAAAAGUGAACCUAUCCUUUAAUUUGAAUCCAACCUGUCAUUGCUGUAAUUUCACAUUUGACCACAGGGAAGAGCCAUUGUCCUGGUGUGCUGCUCCACGGGACGUGUUACCAGUUCUUCACGGGGCCAAAGACGGCCUCGGAUGCAGAG
ensembl:lncRNA